AUUCUGAGUAUGUCAACUGUUCAGGCGGGAAGGAGUCUGCUUCACAGACGAAAUCUUGCAACACUGACCCUUGUGCAAUUAAUGGUAAUUGGACUGCCUGGACACCAUGGUCAAUAUGUGAUCAAUCCUGUGGUGGAGGUAUUCAUUAUCGUCGGAGAACUUGCUCUAAUCCACCUCCCAAGAAUGGUGGGUUGCCUUGUGGUAAAACGAAGGAGGAGAUGGAAACUGCAGUGUGCAAUGUACGACCUUGUGACGAAGCAUGUGAAGAAGGGACUGUAUUUGAUGACUGUAGUAAGCCAUUACCAUGCCAACGAACCUGUCUUGAAAU